rnacentral:rRNA from 1 species
GACAUCCUGCGAAUUUGGUAGAGAUACCUUAGUGCCUUCGGGAACGCAGAGACAGGUGCUGCAUGGCUGUCGUCAGUUCGUGUUGUGAAAUGUUGGGGUUAAGUCCCGUAACGAGCGCAACCCUUGUCCUUAUUUGCCAGCGCGUAAUGGCGGGAACUCUAAGGAGACUGCCGGUGACAAACCGGAGGAAGGUGGGGACGACGUCAAGUCAUCAUGGCCCUUACGAGUAGGGCUACACACGCGCUACAAUGGUCGGUACAAAGGGUUACCAACUCGCGAGAGUGAGCCAAUCCCGAAAAGCCGAUCUCAGUCCGGAUCGGAGUCUGCAACUCGACUCCGUGAAGUCGGAAUCGCUAAUAAUCGUGGAUCAGAAUGCCACGGUGAAUACGUUCCCGGGCCUUGUACACACCGCCCGUCACACCAUGGGAGUGGACUGCACCAGAAGUGGUUAGCCUAACGCAAGAGGGCGAUCACCACGGUGUGGUUCAUGACUGGGGUGAAGUCGUAACAAGGUAACC